rnacentral:rRNA from 1 species
UACGAGGUCUCAAGCGUUGUUCGGAUUCAUUGGGCGUAAAGGGUGUGUAGGUGGCGCGCUAAGUCGGGUGUGAAAUUUCGGAGCUUAACUCCGAAACUGCAUUCGAUACUGGCGUGCUUGAGGACUGGAGAGGAGACUGGAAUUUACGGUGUAGCAGUGAAAUGCGUAGAUAUCGUAAGGAAGACCAGUGGCGAAGGCGGGUCUCUGGACAGUUCCUGACACUGAGACACGAAGGCCAGGGGAGCAAACGGG